rnacentral:rRNA from 1 species
UAGAAUUCCACGUGUAGCGGUGAAAUGCGUAGAGAUGUGGAGGAAUACCGGUGGCGAAGGCGGCCUUCUGGACAGAUACUGACGCUGAGAUGCGAAAGCGUGGGGAGCAAACAGGAUUAGAUACCCUGGUAGUCCACGCUGUAAACGAUGUCGAUUGGAGUUUGUUGCCUGAGUGAUGGGCUCCGAAGCUAACGCGAUAAAUCGACCGCCUGGGGAGUACGGCCCGCAAGGUUAAAACUCAAAUGAAUUGACGGGGGCCCCGCACAAGCGGUGGAGCAUGUGGUUUAAUUCGAUGCAACGCGAAGAACCUUACCUGGUCUUGACAUCCACAGAAUCUUGCAGAGAUGCGAGAGUGCCUUCGGGAACUGUGAGACAGGUGCUGCAUGGCUGUCGUCAGCUCGUGUUGUGAAAUGUUGGGUUAACUCCCGCAACGAGCGCAACCCUUGUCCUUUGUUGCCAGCGGUUUGGCCGGGAACUCAAAGGAGACUGCCGUUGAUAAAGCGGAGGAAGGUGGGGACGACGUCAAGUCAUCAUGGCCCUUACGACCAGGGCUACACACGUGCUACAAUGGCGUAUACAAAGGGAGGCGACCUCGCGAGAGCAAGCGGACCUCACAAAGUACGUCUAAGUCCGGAUUGGAGUCUGCAACUCGACUCCAUGAAGUCGGAAUCGCUAGUAAUCGUGAAUCAGAAUGU